UACGAAGGGUGCAAGCGUUAACCGGAAUUACUGGGCGUAAAGCGUGCGUAGGCGGUGACUUAAGUCUGUUGUGAAAUCCCCGGGCUCAACCUGGGAAUGGCAAUGGAUACUGGGUCGCUAGAGUGUGAUAGAGGAUGGUGGAAUUCCCGGUGUAGCGGUGAAAUGCGUAGAGAUCGGGAGGAACAUCAGUGGCGAAGGCGGCCAUCUGGAUCAACACUGACGCUGAGGCACGAAAGCGUGGGGAGCAAACAGG
rnacentral:rRNA from 1 species